GGGGAUAUAGCUCAGUGGUAGAGCGCUUGCCUAGGAAGCGCAAGGCCCUGGGUUCAGUCCCCAGCUCCG
rfam:Rattus norvegicus chromosome 16, whole genome shotgun sequence.